AACGAACGCUGGCGGCAUGCCUAACACAUGCAAGUCGAACGAGACCUUCGGGUCUAGUGUCGCACGGGUUCGUAACGCGUGGGAACCUUCCCUUAGGUUCGGAAUAACUCCCCGAAAGGGGUGCUAAUACCGGAUAAUGUCUUCGGACCAAAGAUUUAUCGCCUUUGGAUGGUCCCGCGUUGGAUUAGCUAGUUGGUAGGGUAAAAGCCUACCAAGGCGACGAUCCAUAGCUGGUCUGUGAGGAUGAUCAGCCACACUGGGACUGAGAAACGGCCCAGACUCCUACGGGAGGCAGCAGUGGGGAAUAUUGGAAAAUGGGCGAAAGCCUGAUCCAGCAAUGCCGCGUGAGUGAUGAAGGCAUUAGGGUUGUAAAGCUCUUUUAACCGGGAUGAUAAUGACAGUACCGGGAGAAUAAGCUCCGGCUAACUCCGUG
rnacentral:rRNA from 1 species